CUCAUAUGGUGAUCUUGGUGGACCUAUUAUUACUACACAAGUAACUAUUCCCAAAGAUUUGGCUGGAUCUAUUAUUGGCAAAGGUGGUCAGCGGAUUAAACAAAUCCGUCAUGAGUCGGGAGCUUCGAUCAAAAUUGAUGAGCCUUUAGAAGGAUCCGAAGAUCGGAUCAUUACCAUUACAGGAACACAGGACCAGAUACAGAAUGCACAGUAUUUGCUGCAGAACAGUGUGAAGCAGUAUGCAGAUGUUGAAGGAUUCUAAUGCAAGAUAUUUUUUCUUUUUUAUAGUGUGAAGCAGUAUUCUGGAAAGUUUUUCUAAGACUAGUGAAGAACUGAAGGAGUCCUGCAUCUUUUUUUUUUUAUCUGCUUCUGUUUAAAAAGCCAACAUUCCUCUGCUUCAUAGGUGUUCUGCAUUUGAGGUGUAGUGAAAUCUUUGCUGUUCACCAGAUGUAAUGUUUUAGUUCCUUACAAACAGGGUUGGGGGGGGGAAGGGCGUGCAAAAACUAACAUUGAAAUUUUGAAACAGCAGCAGAGUGAGUGGAUUUUAUUUUUCGUUAUUGUUGGUGGUUUAAAAAAUUCCCCCCAUGUAAUUAUUGUGAACACCUUGCUUUGUGGUCACUGUAACAUUUGGGGGGUGGGACAGGGAGGAAAAGUAACAAUAGUCCACAUGUCCCUGGCAUCUGUUCAGAGCAGUGUGCAGAAUGUAAUGCUCUUUUGUAAGAAACGUUUUAUGAUUUUUAAAAUAAAUUUAGUGAACC
rnacentral:lncRNA from 1 species